UUACCAGGCUGGAGUAGAGAUGGAGGCCAGGGUUGGAGGACUUCAGCCUGGAUGAACAGUGCUGAGAUACAAGUAUUUGGGCACACAAAGCCAAGGCUUAGGGAACCAGUUAUGAGAGCUAUUGGUACAGGAGAUGAAGCUGGGUUAUAGAGGGGGGUCCUUGGUGAGUGCGUGGAGCGAGUGGAGGCAUAAGGAACUCCACACAGGAAGUCGAUGUUGGCACUAUUACAAUCAACAUGCUAUCUAACCAGCCUAGGGGCCUGCCACAGAUGGAUGGAUGGAUGUUGGAAAUACGAUCCAUAGGAAGUGGUGUAUUUGGCUGCGAAGAACGGGAUGGGCCAUCUGCAGGAAGAUGGAUGGAACCAGACACUGGGAUGUUAAGUAAAAAAGCCAAACUCAGGAAGACAAGCAGUGCAUCAUCUCUCAUAUGUAGGAUCGAGAUUAAAAGGAAAAGGCACGGAAGUAGAGGGGGGAGCUAUUUGAGAAGAAGAAAUGGACCGACAGGAAGAGAAUUGACGAGGGGAGGGGGAACGGUGCUAGUGAACUGGACCAAAGUAUACAUAUGGGAAUACCACAGCGACGACACUCCUUAUUCUGUGGAACUAGGAUGUACGGGUGAAGAAAAACAGUGUAAAAAGAAACCUUCAUAUCUGUUCCCCGGAUGUAACAAGUGAUCGUGUUCUGACAUUGCUUCAAGGUUUUGUACCUUGCAGAUAUCAGAGGGGAAAGUCUAUCCCUUUUCACAUCCUGAAUUUGAUCUACAGAAAAUGAUCUUCACCGCCACCUGAAUUGAGACUCCCGUUUUACUAAUGCCAUAGGCCGUGGCGUUCAUCACCCUCCCGAAAGCGCCAGACCCCAGGACCUUCCCUGUAAAGAUGGAGUCAACACAAUGAGAACAACAAUGAAGGGGAGACAGAGCCCAAUGGUCGCAUAGAAGGAGAUGUUGUCUUGGAUGAAAGGGAAGGGGCCUGCAAGAGAAGCAAUCACUAGGCGGGGGCGAGAUAAAACAGGCAGGCCUGUUUAAGUCUCUUGUUAGAGUCUCUCACAUCCUGUUCAAGUAACCACCAUCUUCAGGCCUUAUGAGCAAUCUGUGUGUUCUGUCUGGGUGCCCCACAGAAAGUUGGUUUGUUUCUGUAAACAAUGAGUCCCCAGAAAAAUCAGAAACGAUUCUGAACCCAUCUUAAAAACUGGACCAUGAUGUCACGUGAAUAAAGCCCAUAUAAACC
rnacentral:lncRNA from 1 species